rnacentral:lncRNA from 1 species
GUAGAAGAGCCAGAGUUCAUUGUUCCAGCACUAGGGAUCUUCUGCGUGCUUGGCACUACUGACAACUCUUUUGAGCUAAAUCCAGUUUCUUUUAGCAUGAUACUGCUAACCACUGUGGACAAGCAGAGUAAGAGUGCCACACUUCAUACUCUUUUUUUCAACAUCUUGCAUUGUGGAAAUACCACUAUCUGCAAUGACUGUGUAAAGCAAAGUAGAAAACUGGAUUGCAGGAUGCACCACUGGGAACAGAGUCCUGUCGCAGUGGUCUGGAACUUGUGAUCUUCCUUACUAUUACAGGACAUUCUUUUUAGCCUCUAAACUUUGUUCUGGUGCUUUUCCGCACAGGCAAUUCUAUCCAUGUUCCAUACCAG